CCUCACAGAACACCGUAGCCUAGUUGCCGUGGUAUAGUACAGGCCCACCCGUAGGUAGUCAAUGUUCUUCCUCAACUGUUCAGCUGUCUUCUUGUCGUCAAAACAACGAUCCUCCAACUUGCUGCUAUGUACGGUGUACAGAUCGGAUGUGUUAUCCUUAUCUUGGUGACAAUUUCUUGCGCCUAUGAAGUAUGCUACGAGAAACAGCUUGAUGGGACUUCCCAACAAAAGACCUGCACUUACUCUUGUUGUGGAACCACGUAUGCUAAGUACUGCUGCGGCUCGUCCAGGUGAGCUUUCUGCACCACCUACCACUACGCCUACUGGUUGACCACAAGAGCCAUUAUCGGCAUCGUCAUUGGUGUCCUCUGCCUCAUCGGUCUGAUCGUCGGAGUCAUCAUCUGUUGUGUCUGCUGCUGUAAGUCAUCGCCAGGACAACGAGGUCAAGUGAUACAAAACCAACAUCAACUGACUGUAGUGUCAGGCACAACAAACGCAGCCUACACUCCUGGAUAUGGUCCGGCUCCAGUAGCAUACCCUCCGACUGCAGCAGCAUACCCCCCGGCUCCAGGGGCAUACCCGCCGGCUCCAGCCUACACUCAAGCAGCCUAUCCCCCAGAGAAGCCGGGAACGUACCUGCCCCCACAAAAUGCAGCAUACCCGCCCCCACAAGGUGGAGUGAACCCGCCCGCACAAGAAGCUGCCUGACCCCAGCAAAUGAAGUUUCCAAGCCGAUAGCCCUCGGGAACAAUACAAUACCCAAAUAUACUACCCAUCAAAAGUUUAGACUCGCUUAAAACAUUCACUAUAUGUUAUGUAUGUAUAUAUGGUUACAACGAAGAAAAAUGUCUCCACUAA
rnacentral:misc_RNA from 1 species